UUCAGUUUUCAUCUACCCACUGUUUAUAUACUCCUCAACACUUUCUCAUAUUCCACAUACCAAAAAACCAGAGCCUUCUUAUGUGUGGCCUUGAUUGUGCAAUAUGAAGGAAGGUGAAGCCUUUUCAACGCUCGGAAAGGACUUGGCAAUAAAGAGCAAAUUCUGGUGGUUCAAGUGUGGUAGGGGGUGGAAUAAAGAAUGUUUACUUCUUAGCCAACGCGUUAUAUUUGGUGAAAGUUGGAAGAGAGCACGUUUAUUUUGGAAUGGAAGGAUUUCGAAAGAAGGUUAUAAUUAAAUCCGAAGGAUUUCCGUGUAUCGGUCAAGUUCACGUUCUGUUGAACGAACCGAGUGGUCAAAGUUCAACGAAGUUGAAGAAAAAUAAGUCAGACGAAGGUUGUUCUUCUGCAGACUUAAUUCUUACCACCAUCGUGUCUGUUUCGACGCUGUCAUAAUUAAGUUGGAAUGAUUUUCUUGUGUUGGUUUAGUUCACGUUAUGUUGAACGAACCGAGUGGUCAAAGUUCAAAGAAGUUGAAGAAAAAUAAGUCUGACGAAAGUUGUUCUUCUGUGGAUUUAAUUCUCACCACCGCCGCGUGUGCUUCAUGUCUUUUCUUGUGCACAUUAUUUUUUCCUUUUAUUGCGAAAUUCUAAUGCCGAAUAUAUUUUUUUUUUUGAUAAUGGAUUAAA